GAUGAUCUUAUUACGGGCGCGGA
rnacentral:miRNA from 1 species